rnacentral:rRNA from 1 species
UGAGGAAUAUUGGUCAAUGGACGAGAGUCUGAACCAGCCAAGUAGCGUGAAGGAUGAAGGUUCUAUGGAUUGUAAACUUCUUUUAUACGGGAAUAAACGGAUCCACGUGUGGAUUUUUGCAUGUACCGUAUGAAUAAGGAUCGGCUAACUCCGUGCCAGCAGCCGCGGUAAUACGGAGGAUCCGAGCGUUAUCCGGAUUUAUUGGGUUUAAAGGGAGCGUAGAUGGGUUGUUAAGUCAGUUGUGAAAGUUUGCGGCUCAACCGUAAAAUUGCAAUUGAUACUGGCAGUCUUGAGUACAGUUGAGGUAGGCGGAAUUCGUGGUGUAGCGGUGAAAUGCUUAGAUAUCACGAAGAACUCCGAUUGCGAAGGCAGCUUACUAACCUGUAACUGACAUUGAUGCUCGAAAGUGUGGGUAUCAAACAGGAUUAGAUACCCUGGUAGUCCACACGGUAAACGAUGAAUACUCGCUGUAGGCGAUAUACAGUCUGCGGCCAAGCGAAAGCAUUAAGUAUUCCACCUGGGGAGUACGCCGGCAACGGUGAAACUCAAAGGAAUUGACGGGGGCCCGCACAAGCGGAGGAACAUGUGGUUUAAUUCGAUGAUACGCGAGGAACCUUACCCGGGCUUAAAUUGCAACCGAAUAUGGCGGAAACGCUAUAGCUAGCAAUAGCGGUUGUGAAGGUGCUGCAUGGUUGUCGUCAGCUCGUGCCGUGAGGUGUCGGCUUAAGUGCCAUAACGAGCGCAACCCUUGCCGAUAGUUACUAACAGGUUAUGCUGAGGACUCUGUCGGGACUGCCAUCGUAAGAUGUGAGGAAGGUGGGGAUGACGUCAAAUCAGCACGGCCCUUACGUCCGGGGCUACACACGUGUUACAAUGGGGGGUACAGAGGGCUGCUACCACGCAAGUGGAUGCCAAUCCCAAAAACCUCUCUCAGUUCGGAUUGAAGUCUGCAACCCGACUUCAUGAAGCUGGAUUCGCUAGUAAUCGCGGAUCAGCAUGCCGCGGUGAAUACGUUCCC